rnacentral:rRNA from 1 species
GAUGAACGCUGGCGGCGUGCCUAAUACAUGCAAGUCGAACGAAUCUUCUUCGGAAGAUGAGUGGCGAACGGGUGAGUAAUACAUAGGUAACCUGCCCCUGUGCGGGGGAUAACAGGAGGAAACUCCUGCUAAUACCGCAUAGCCAUCAGCACCGCAUGGAGCUCAUGCCAACUAUCCUUUAUGGGAUAGCGCAGGGAUGGCCCUAUGGCGCCUUACCUGGUUGGAGGGGCAACGGCCCACCAAGGCAACGAUGCGUAGCCGGCCUGAGAGGGCGGACGGCCACAUUGGGACGGAGACACGGCCCAGACUCCUACGGGAGGCAGCAGUAAGGAAUUUUCGGCAAUGGGGGAAACCCUAACCGAGCAACGCCGCGUGAGCGAAGAAGGCCUUCGGGUCGUAAAGCUCUGUUGUAAAGGAAGAACGGCGCAUACAGGAAAUGGUAUGCGAGUGACGGUACUUUACCAGAAAGCCACGGCUAACUACGUGCCAGCCGCCGCAGUAAAAC